UCAGAUCCCGUGCUGAACCCCGAACAAGCCACAAGCACCCCUAGAGGGCUGGGGGCAAGAUCUGCCGGGGGAAACUGAGGCAGGGGGGAGGCUGAAGUUGGGAGAGCCUGGGGCCGUGGCUGUGCGCAGGGUAUCUGCCUACCCUUGCUGCCCACCGCUGCCCCCCACUCAAUGGGGGGGUUCCCUGCUGGCAGCCCCCCGAGCCGGCAUUAACCCAUUGGUCCCUGUGUGCUCUCAAGUCCCCCAGAGGACCUCCCCCACAGGCCCCAAGAACACCCCGAACCCAGCCCGCCUCGGCAACGUGCCCAGCGGCAUCCUACGGAAAAACUCGCCUGCCACCCGCAACGGCGGCACCGAGGCUGACGCGCAGAUCCUGGAGCUCAACCAGCAGCUGAUGGACCUGAAGCUGACAGUGGAUGGGCUGGAGAAGGAGCGAGAUUUCUACUUCAGCAAACUGCGGGACAUUGAGCUCAUCUGCCAAGAGCACGAGAACGAGAACAGCCCCAUCAUCACCGGCAUCGUCAGCGUCCUCUACGCCACGGAGGAGGGCUUUGCCCCACCAGAGGACGACGAGCUGGAGGAGCAGCCGCCAGAGGACCAGGACGAGUACUAGCCCCGGCCCGCGCCCGCGCCCCCCGCGCCGCCCCCACCAUAGACAUUGGAGGCCCGAGCCCGCGCCUCGCCCCGCACCGUCACACGCCAUCGCGGCCUCCGGCAGCUCCAGGGGACGCCACCAUCUCCAUAACCAGCCGACAUCCCUGGGCGAGGGGCGCGGCUGUGCCGGGGCCGGGCCGGGCUCCAGCGCCGUGCCGGGGCCUGGCCCGCGCCGCCCCCUCCCCAUAUUUAUUUCUGUUGUCCCCCGGUGUGAGCGAGUGCCACGUCCGCCCUGGCGCCCUGCGUGCCCGUGGUGAGAGUGAGGAGGAAGGCGAGUCCGCGGGGGCUGCCCGGGGUGCCACGUGCUGCUCGCCUUGCUGGGAGCCCCAGGACCCCCGUGGCAGAGCGAGCGCCGGCCUGGCAGCCUGUGGGAGCGGGAGGCCACGGAGCAGAGGAGGGAGAGGUUGGUUCAGGUUCCUGGGAAGGUGAAGAGGGAACCCCAGCCCGGUGCGGCCAUGGCAGCGGGAGGCAGCUGCAGCCGCGGGGGUCCCGGAGAGGGGGCCUGUCCUCAGCACGGCACGGAAUGGCAGUGGGCCCUCUCCUCUCGCCUGUGGCCCCCACGGAGCCGGGGCUGGGGUGGGUCACCGCGAGGGCUCGCAGAGCCCACCCGCCCUGGCUGCCACGUCCCUGUCGCAUCGCUUGUCUGGUCCGUCACUCCGGUCGCAACGCUGCAUCUGUGUUCGGUUUUAUUUAAAUAAACUCGUGUGGUAACACCGCGUCCUGCCCGUG
rnacentral:lncRNA from 1 species